UUGAACGCUGGCGGCAUGCUUUACACAUGCAAGUCGAACGGCAGCGGGGGCUUCGGCCUGCCGGCGAGUGGCGAACGGGUGAGUAAUGCAUCGGAACGUACCCAGUCGUGGGGGAUAACUACGCGAAAGCGUAGCUAAUACCGCAUACGCCCUGAGGGGGAAAGCGGGGGACCUUCGGGCCUCGCGCGAUUGGAGCGGCUGAUGUCGGAUUAGCUAGUUGGUGGGGUAAAGGCCUACCAAGGCGACGAUCCGUAGCUGGUCUGAGAGGAUGAUCAGCCACACUGGGACUGAGACACGGCCCAGACUCCUACGGGAGGCAGCAGUGGGGAAUUUUGGACAAUGGGGGCAACCCUGAUCCAGCAAUGCCGCGUGAGUGAAGAAGGCCUUCGGGUUGUAAAGCUCUUUCGGUGGGGAAGAAAUCACGUCUGUGAACAGCGGGCGUGGAUGACGGUACCCGAAGAAGAAGCACCGGCUAACUACGU
rnacentral:rRNA from 1 species